ACGAAGGGUGCAAGCGUUAAUCGGAAUUACUGGGCGUAAAGCGCGCGUAGGUGGUUCAGCAAGUUGGAUGUGAAAGCCCCGGGCUCAACCUGGGAACUGCAUCCAAAACUACUGAGCUAGAGUACGGUAGAGGGUGGUGGAAUUUCCUGUGUAGCGGUGAAAUGCGUAGAUAUAGGAAGGAACACCAGUGGCGAAGGCGACCACCUGGACUGAUACUGACACUGAGGUGCGAAAGCGUGGGGAGCAAACAG
rnacentral:rRNA from 1 species